CCCUGUUUCAGAAAGACCAAAAGAAAAAAAAAAAGGGAGAGAGACCCAGAAGAGACACAGACAUAUAUCUUCCCUAUCUCUUGUCAUGUGGUGUCAUGUGCCACCUCAAAACUCUACCAAUAAGACUACCUGCUAUGAAGUCAUGCAGCCAAGGGGGAUCCUUGCCAGAGCCCACAUGUGCCAUGCUGUUUGGACUUUCGGCCUCCCAAACUAUGAGUUAAAUAAACCUCUUAUUUUUACAAAGUUAGCCUGCCUCUAGUAUUUUGUUAUAGUAAUGAAAGUCUAAUAUAGUGGGCACUCUUAGUCUGCACUAGGAAUAUUAAAAAAGGACACUCUCUCUUAGGGACCUUGCAAUAGAGAUGAGAUGACUAUGAAGUGGGCAUAAAAAUAGAAGAGAAUAUACAGUAAAAAUGAUAAUGGUGGGUACAGGGUGCUGUGGAAAUACGCUGAAAAGGCUACUCAUCUCAGCUCUGGCUUUCAAGACUGCUGUCUGAAGGAGGCAAGAUUUUUAAAGGACAUGAAGGAGUAGUUCUUAAGGAAUACUAUUAUCUGUGGAGACUACCGCUGGAAGUACUCUGUUGUAUAACACCUGAGUGGAGGUGACUGAUGCAAGUUGGGUAGAUGGAUAGUGUGGGACUCAGCAAGACCAGAGCUGCAGAGGUGAGUGUGACGACAGCAGCAAGUUGGCAGUAACUGAAGGCGGAUGGAAGUGAACGGGAAACCUGUGGCGAUUAUGUCAUGUAAGAAGGGUAAAGGUUGUGGAUAGAACUCUAGGGACCCCGAUACUUGAAGGUAGCUGAAGGAGAAGAAUCCACAGAGACUGAAAAGGGGACGUCAGAGAAGUAGAAGGAAAAAGUAGGAGAGAGUUCCAUCGAAAAAUGCAAAAAAAAAAAAAAAAAAAA